CAGGCCUAACACAUGCAAGUCGAACGGAGAUCAUUUGGUAGAAGUUUUCGGAUGGACACUGAGUGACCUUAGUGGCGAACGGGUGAGUAACGCGUGGGCAAUCUGCCUCAGAGUGGCGGACAACAGUUGGAAACGACUGCUAGUACCGCAGAAGCCCACAGCACCGCAUGGUCCAGGGGGAAAAGAUUGAUUGCUUUGAGAUGAGCUCGCGUCCAUUUAGCUCGUUGGUGAGGUAACGGCCCACCAAGGCGACGAUUGCUAGCCGGACGGAGAGGUUGAACGGCCACAUUGGGACUGGGCUACGGCCCAGACUCCUACGGGAGGCAGCAGUGGGGAAUAUUGCACAAUGGGGGGAACCCUGAUGCAGCGACGCCGCGUGGAGGAAGAAGGUCUUCGGAUUGUAAACUCCUGUUGUUAGGGACGAUAAUGACGGUACCUAACAAGGAAGCACCGGCUAACUACGUACCAGCCGCCGCCGUAA
rnacentral:rRNA from 1 species